AUUGAACGCUGGCGGAAUGCUUUACACAUGCAAGUCGAACGGUAGAGGGGGCAACCCCUUGAGAGUGGCGAACGGGUGAGUAAUAUAUCGGAACGUGCCCAGUCGUGGGGAUAACGUAGCGAAAGUUACGCUAAUACCGCAUACGAUCUAAGGAUGAAAGCGGGGGACUCGCAAGAGCCUCGCGCGAUUGGAGCGGCCGAUAUCAGAUUAGGUAGUUGGUGGGGUAAAGGCUCACCAAGCCAACGAUCUGUAGCUGGUCUGAGAGGACGACCAGCCACACUGGAACUGAGACACGGUCCAGACUCCUACGGGAGGCAGCAGUGGGGAAUUUUGGACAAUGGACGCAAGUCUGAUCCAGCCAUUCCGCGUGCAGGAUGAAGGCCCUCGGGUUGUAAACUGCUUUUGUACGGAACGAAAAGGUUUCUAUUAAUACUAGGAGCUCAUGACGGUACCGUAAGAAUAAGACACCGGCUAACUACGUGCCAGCAGCCGCGGUAAAGUGAC
rnacentral:rRNA from 1 species